UACGAAGGGGGCUAGCGUUGCUCGGAAUCACUGGGCGUAAAGCGCACGUAGGCGGACUCUUAAGUCGGUGGUGAAAUCCUGGAGCUCAACUCCAGAACUGCCUUCGAUACUGAGAGUCUCGAGUCCGGGAGAGGUGAGUGGAACUGCGAGUGUAGAGGUGAAAUUCGUAGAUAUCGGGAGGAACACCUGUGGCGAAGGCGGCCAUCUGGACGGUAACUGACGCUGAGACGCGAAAGCGUGGGUAGCAAACAGG
rnacentral:rRNA from 1 species